rnacentral:rRNA from 1 species
UUGGUCAUCAUUGCGAUGGAGAUACACCUGUUCCCAUGUCGAACACAGAAGUUAAGUCCAUCUACGGCGGAAGUACUUGGGGGUUGCCCCCUGGGAGAUAGGCGAGUGGCCAAGUUUUGGGAGUUUAGCUCAGCUGGGAGAGCA